GACGAACGCUGGCGGCGUGCUUAACACAUGCAAGUCGAGCGGUAAGGCCCCUUCGGGGGUACACGAGCGGCGAACGGGUGAGUAACACGUGGGUGACCUGCCCUCAGCUCUGGGAUAAGCCUGGGAAACUGGGUCUAAUACUGGAUAUGACUCCACGGUGCAUGUCGUGGGGUGGAAAGCCUUGUGCGGCUGAGGAUGGGCCCGCGGCCUAUCAGCUUGUUGGUGGGGUGANGGCCUACCAAGGCGACGACGGGUAGCCGGCCUGAGAGGGCGACCGGCCAC
rnacentral:rRNA from 1 species